CAAGACCCAAACCAGCAUACGAUGAACCCCAAGGAAUUAAUGCUGUUCUUUUGGGUCCACCAGGCUCAGGAAAAGGCACACAGGCACCAAAAUUAGCUGAAGAAUAUUCAGUCUGCCAUUUGUCAACAGGUGACAUGUUACGAGCUGUUAUCAGCUCUGGCAGUGAAUUGGGCAAGCGUAUCAAGGGAGUGAUCGAUGCUGGACAGUUGGUUAACGAUGAGCUAGUCUUGGAGCUGGUGAAUGAUCAUUUGGACAGGCCGGCAUGUAAGA
rnacentral:sRNA from 1 species